AAUUUAUUAGUUUAAAUAAAACCUUACAUUUUCACUGUAAAAAUAAAUUUUUAUAUUUAUAAAUUA
rnacentral:tRNA from 1 species